rnacentral:rRNA from 1 species
AUUGAACGCUGGCGGCAGGCCUAACACAUGCAAGUCGAACGAGUGGCGGACGGGUGAGUAAUGUCUGGGAAACUGCCUGAUGGUGGGGGAUAACUACUGGCACCGGUAGCUAAUACCGCAUACCAUCGGAUGUGCCCAGAGGGGAUUAUCUAGUAGGUGGGGUAAAGGGUCACCUGGGCGACGAUCCCUAGCUGGUCUGAGAGGAUGACCAGCGACACGGGAACUGAGGCACGGUCCAGACGCCUACGGGAGGAAGGAGGGGGGAAUAGGGCACAAUGGGAGCAAGCCUGAUGCAGCCAUGCCGCGUGUAUGAAGAAGGCCUGCGGGUUGUAAAGUAGUUUCAGCGGGGAGGCGUGACGCGCAGAAGAAGCACCGGCUAACUCCGUGCCAGCAGCCGCGGUAAUUC